rnacentral:rRNA from 1 species
GACGAACGCUGGCGGCGUGCUUAACACAUGCAAGUCGAACGGAAAGGCCCUGCUUUUGUGGGGUGCUCGAGUGGCGAACGGGUGAGUAACACGUGAGUAACCUGCCCCUGUCUUUGGGAUAACUUCAGGAAACUGGGGCUAAAAUCGGAUAUGAUCUCUUGCUGCAUGGUGGGGGAUGGUAAGAUUCGGCGGUUGGGGAUGGACUCGCGGCUUAUCAGCUUGUUGGUGGGGUAGUGGCUUACCAAGGCUUUGACGGAUAGCCGGCCUGAGAGGGUGACCGGCCACAAUGGGACUGAGAGACGGCGCAGACUCCUAAGGGAGGCAGCAGGGGGGAAUAUUGCAGAAUGGGCGGAAGCCUGAUGCAGCAGCGCCGGGUGCGGAAUAACGGCCUUCGGGUUGUAAACCGAUUUCGCCUGUGACGAAGAGUGAGUGACGGUAAUGGAUAAAGAAGCACCGGCUAACUACGUG